rnacentral:rRNA from 1 species
UACAGAGGUCCCAAGCGUUGUUCGGAUUCACUGGGCGUAAAGGGCGCGUAGGCGGCCUGCUAAGUCGGAUGUGAAAUCCCUCGGCUCAACCGAGGAACUGCAUCCGAUACUGGCGGGCUUGAAUCCGGGAGAGGGAUGUAGAAUUCCAGGUGUAGCGGUGAAAUGCGUAGAUAUCUGGAGGAAUACCGGUGGCGAAGGCGGCAUCCUGGACCAUUACUGACGCUGAGGCGCGAAAGCUAGGGGAGCAAACGGG